GAUGAACGCUGGCGGCGUGCCUAAUACAUGCAAGUCGAGCGAACAGACGAGGAGCUUGCUCCUCUGACGUUAGCGGCGGACGGGUGAGUAACACGUGGAUAACCUACCUAUAAGACUGGGAUAACUUCGGGAAACCGGAGCUAAUACCGGAUAAUAUAUUGAACCGCAUGGUUCAAUAGUGAAAGACGGUUUUGCUGUCACUUAUAGAUGGAUCCGCGCCGCAUUAGCUAGUUGGUAAGGUAACGGCUUACCAAGGCAACGAUGCGUAGCCGACCUGAGAGGGUGAUCGGCCACACUGGAACUGAGACACGGUCCAGACUCCUACGGGAGGCAGCAGUAGGGAAUCUUCCGCAAUGAGCGAAAGCCUGACGGAGCAACGCCGCGUGAGUGAUGAAGGUCUUCGAAUCGUAAAACUCUGUUAUUAGGGAAGAACAAAUGUGUAAGUAACUAUGCACGUCUUGACGGUACCUAAUCAGAAAGCCACGGCUAACUACGUG
rnacentral:rRNA from 1 species